rnacentral:rRNA from 1 species
AAUCUUCCACAAUGGACGAAAUUCUGAUGGAGCAACGCCGCGAGAGUGAAGAAGGUUUUCGGAACGUAAAGCUCUGUUGUAAGGGAAGAACACGUACAGGAACAACUGCCUGUACCUUUACUGUACCUUACCAGAAAGCCACGGCUAACUACCUUCCAGCAGCCGCGGUAAUACGUAGGUGGCAAGCGUUGUCCGGAAUUAUUGGGCGUAAAGCGCGCGCAGGCGGUCCUUUAAGUCUGAUGUGAAAGCCCACGGCUCAACCGUGGAGGGUCAUUGGAAACUGGAGGACUUGAGUACAGAAGAGGAAAGCGGAAUUCCACGUGUAGCGGUGAAAUGCGUAGAGAUGUGGAGGAACACCAGUGGCGAAGGCGGCUUUCUGGUCUGUAACUGACGCUGAGGCGCGAAAGCGUGGGGAGCAA